UCAGGCCUAACACAUGCAAGUCGAGCGCGCCUUUCGGGGUGAGCGGCGGACGGGUUAGUAACGCGUGGGAAUAUGCCCUUUGGUACGGAAUAGCCUCUGGAAACGGAGAGUAAUACCGUAUGAGCCCUUCGGGGGAAAGAUUUAUCGCCAAAGGAUUAGCCCGCGUUAGAUUAGGUAGUUGGUGGGGUAAUGGCCUACCAAGCCUACGAUCUAUAGCUGGUUUUAGAGGAUGAUCAGCAACACUGGGACUGAGACACGGCCCAGACUCCUACGGGAGGCAGCAGUGGGGAAUCUUGGACAAUGGGGGCAACCCUGAUCCAGCCAUGCCGCGUGAGUGAUGAAGGCCUUAGGGUCGUAAAGCUCUUUCGCCUGUGAAGAUAAUGACGGUAGCAGGUAAAGAAACCCCGGCUAACUCCGUGCCAGCAGCCGCGGUAAUACGGAGGGGGUUAGCGUUGUUCGGAAUUACUGGGCGUAAAGCGCACGUAGGCGGACCAGAAAGUUGGGGGUGAAAUCCCGGGGCUCAACCCCGGAACUGCCUCCAAAACUAUUGGUCUAGAGUUCGAGAGAGGUGAGUGGAAUUCCAAGUGUAGAGGUGAAAUUCGUAGAUAUUUGGAGGAACACCAGUGGCGAAGGCGGCUCACUGGCUCGAUACUGACGCUGAGGUGCGAAAGUGUGGGGAGCAAACAGGAUUAGAUACCCU
rnacentral:rRNA from 1 species